UUCUUCAAAGAAGUUUCCUUUACCUUCCAGCUUUGUGUUUUUUCCCCUAUCUGUUGAAAUCUGCCUGCGCCAAAUCACUUCUUUGAAAAUGUUCACAUCAAGGUGUUGAUGCCAGUUCUGAAAUGUUUGUCUGGGAGCUGUCUGAGCAGAAACAGACCUGAAUGUGCCAACGAUAAGCUGGAGGCUACACACCUGUGCUUCUUUCAAUCGGUGCUGUCCCUGCCUUCAAGAUGUGUUGCCUUUCUGACAAAUUGAAUGCAAGACCGUCCACCUGCAAAAUUAUUAAGACUCACAAAAUUAUUAAGACUCACCUGCAAAAUUAUUAAGACUCACAAAAUUAUUAAGACUCACCUGCAAAAUUAUUAAGACUCACUUCAUUGCUGCGGUCUGGAACCAAACCCAUAACAACUCUAAGUCCACCGUGACCUUAUUUGGAAGACACUUUGCGAUGGAGAGUUCUUCAGGUCUCUUUGGAGAGUCCUUGGGCUUGCUAACACAGAGGCCCUUGCCAGGGGAGCAGUGAUGUGCCAGAUUGUAGUGGCUUUGCCAGCUUGUGUCCCUAAAUGAAGACAACAUGGAACAGAACCCCUAGCACAACCCAAGACAGGCAUGAGGGCCCUUUUCAGAGCAAAGCCCAUCUCUUUGAAGAUAUAAUCUCUGCGUUGAUCUAAGAAAAAUGACCUUAGUUUCCUACAACAGACUCUUUGGCGCCCUGUCUUACAGCC